rnacentral:rRNA from 1 species
UUGUCCUUAGUUACCAGCACGUUAUGGUGGCACUCUAAGGAGACUGCCGGUGACAAACCGGAGGAAGGUGGGGAUGACGUCAAGUCAUCAUGGCCCUUACGGCCUGGGCUACACACGUGCUACAAUGGUCGGUACAAAGGGUUGCCAAGCCGCGAGGUGGAGCUAAUCCCAUAAAACCGAUCGUAGUCCGGAUCGCAGUCUGCAACUCGACUGCGUGAAGUCGGAAUCGCUAGUAAUCGUGAAUCAGAAUCGUCACGGUGAAUACGUUCCCGGGCCUU